rnacentral:rRNA from 1 species
CCUACGGGAGGCAGCAGUGAGGAAUAUUGGUCAAUGGGCGCGAGCCUGAACCAGCCAAGUCGCGUGAGGGAAGACGGCCCUACGGGUUGUAAACCUCUUUUGCCGGGGAGCAACGGGCGCCACGUGUGGCGCCACUGAGAGUACCCGGCGAAAAAGCAUCGGCUAACUCCGUGCCAGCAGCCGCGGUAAUACGGAGGAUGCGAGCAUUAUCCGGAUUUAGUGGUGUUAACGGGUGCGUAGGCGAGGCGUGAAUUCAGUGGUCAAAUUGAGGGUAUCAACCCCUUCCCGCCAUUGAAACUGGCGCUCUUGAGUGGAAGAGAAGUAUGCGGAAUGCGUGGUGUAGCGGUGAAAUGCAUAGAUAUCACGCAGAACCCCGAUUGCGAAGGCAGCAUGCCGGCUUCCGACUGACGCUGAAGCACGAAAGCGUGGGGAUCGAACAGGAUUAGAUACCCGUGUAGUC